rnacentral:rRNA from 1 species
UUUUUGUGGAGGGUUCGAUUCUGGCUCAGGAUGAACGCUGGCGGCG